GAUGAAGAACGUAGCGAAAUGCGAUACGUAGUGUGAAUUGCAGAAUUCAGUGAAUCAUAGAAUCUUUGAACGCACAUUGCGCCCUUUGGUAUUACAAAGGGCAUGCCUGUUCGAGCGUCAUUUGUACCCUCAAGCUUUGCUUGGUGUUGGGCGUCUUGUCUCCAGUCCGCUGGAGACUCGCCUUAAAGUCAUUGGCAGCCGGCCUACUGGUUUCGGAGCGCAGCACAAGUCGCACUCUUUUCCAGCCAAGGUCAGUGUCCAACAAGCCUUUUUUCAACUUUUGACCUCGGAUCAGGUAGGGAUACCCGCUGAACUUAAGCAUAUCAAUAAGCGGAGGA
rnacentral:misc_RNA from 1 species